rnacentral:rRNA from 1 species
UACGUAGGUGGCAAGCGUUAUCCGGAUUUACUGGGUGUAAAGGGCGCGCAGGCGGACUUUUAAGUGAGAUGUGAAAUACCCGAGCUCAACUUGGGUGCUGCAUUUCAAACUGGAAGUCUAGAGUGCAGGAGAGGAGAAUGGAAUUCCUAGUGUAGCGGUGAAAUGCGUAGAGAUUAGGAAGAACACCAGUGGCGAAGGCGAUUCUCUGGACUGUAACUGACGCUGAGGCUCGAAAGCGUGGGGAGCAAACAGGAUUAGA